UACGAAGGGGGCUAGCGUUGCUCGGAAUUACUGGGCGGAACGGGCGCGUAGGCGGACAGCUUAGUCAGAGGUGAAAGCCCAGGGCUCAACCCUCGGAUGCCGAUCGAUACUGUCGGGCUAGAGUCCGGAAGAGGCGAGUGGAAUUCCUGGUGUAGCGGUGAAAUGCGCAGAUAUCAGGAGGACCACCAAUGGCGAAGGCAGCUCGCUGGGACGGUACUGACGCUGAGGCGCGAAAGCGUGGGGAGCAAACAGG
rnacentral:rRNA from 1 species